CCUACGGGCGGCAGCAGUGGGGAAUAUUGCACAAUGGGGGAAACCCUGAUGCAGCGACGCCGCGUGAGUGAAGAAGUAUCUCGGUAUGUAAAGCUCUAUCAGCAGGGAAGAAAAUGACGGUACCUGACUAAGAAGCCCCGGCUAACUACGUGCCAGCAGCCGCGGUACUACGUAGGGGGCAAGCGUUAUCCGGAUUUACUGGGUGUAAAGGGGGCGUAGGCGGGGAUGCAAGUCCGGAGGGAAAUCCCAUGGGUUAACGCUCGUACUGCUGUGGAAACUGUUGAGCUUGAGUGGGGGAGGGGCAGGCGGAAUGCCUAGUGUAGCGGUGAAAUGCGUAGAUAUUAGGAAGAACACCGGCGGCGAAGGCGGCCUGCCGGACCGUAACUGACGUUGAGGCUCGAAAGCGUGGGGAGCGAACAGGAUUAGAUACCCUUGUAGUC
rnacentral:rRNA from 1 species